GGGGAUGUAGCUCAGCGGGAGAGCGCCUGCCUUGCACGCAGGAAGUCGUCGGUUCGAAUCCGAUCAUCUCCACCA
rnacentral:tRNA from 1 species